UACGUAGGGGGCAAGCGUUGUCCGGAAUUAUUGGGCGUAAAGGGCGCGUAGGCGGGUGCUCAAGUCCGGGGUGAAAUCCUCCAGCUCAACUGGAGAACUGCCUCGGAUACUGGGUGCCUCGAGUGUGGUAGGGGUGUGCGGAACUAUCGGUGGAGCGGUGAAAUGCGUUGAUAUCGAUAGGAACUCCGGUGGCGAAGGCGGCACACUGGACCACAACUGACGCUGAGGCGCGAAAGCCAGGGGAGCAAACGGG
rnacentral:rRNA from 1 species